CCAACAAGGAUAAGCAUGUGAAUAAAAGGAAACUCCACACGCGUAUCUCUCUUGUCUCUAUUCGUUUCACAUUUCUACUUUUGUUUCACCUCUGUCGCACCAGAGGUUAUCCUUGGCGGAAGAGGUUCUCCAAAAUGUAAUUAAAUAGCAUCACCUCACUCAGUUUCGAGCCCUAAGUCCUAAUCGAGCCAUAGAAUUUUCUAACUCCUCACAAUUCGCUCGAAUCGAAGAAGCAAAUCGAGGAACCCUGACUCCUAAUCUCAAAUGCAUGUGUUGUUGAUGAGAAAUGUAGGUUGAAGUGUGGUUUGAGAGGAGUGAAAAUUGAAUUGUUCUGAGAUCGUGCCAAAGUGAGAGAGUGAUGAGUGAGGAAGAUCGUGCAAAGUGCAGCGAGUUUCUGUUUGUAAUCGUUUUCUGAGAUUGGUGAAAAAGGUCUUGGUGUUCAUUGACUGUCAUGGAGAUGUUGUUUUCAUGCUAUGGUGAAAAUGACUUAAUGCUGCUCUAACUCAGGAUUAGGAUGGCUUGCUUGUGGAAUGUUAUGAAUCAGAGCUGCUUGGCAUGUGCUUGAGCCAUUGGAAUGGAUUUGAGCUGCUAGGACAUGUCAUGUUAUGAGUCCCACAUCGGACAAUAUAUGGUCUGAACAUGUGUUUAUAAAUGGAGGCAGUCCUCACUCUACCAACUGGUUUUGUAGGGUUGAGUUAGACCCAAACCACACAUUCUUAACAUGGUAUCAAAGUCUGGUUUAAGAUUCGGUGGGCCACCUAUUAUGAUUUCCGCUAUCGGGCCAUCCACCAUUUAUUUCCACGCUCCAGAUGUCCAGUCCUGGGCGUGAGGGGUGUGUUAAGAGUCCCACAUCGGACAAUAUAGAGGCAGUCCUCACUCUACCAACUGGUUUUGUAGGGUUGAGUUAGGUCAAAUCACACAUUCUUAAGAUGUCAUGUUGUAAUCUUUAUAAUUUUGAAAUUGAGAUUGUAUGUUGGUUUAUAAUUGGAGAUUGAAUUAAAUGUAUGGUUAUUGUAAUGUA